UACAUGUGGGGCAAGCGUUGUUCGGAAUUACUGGGCAUAAAGGGUGCGUAGGCGGCUUGUUAAGUCAGUGGUGAAAGUUUUCGGCCCAACCGGAAAAUUGCCGUUGAUACUGGCGAGCUUGAGUGCGUGAGGGAUAGGGGGAACGAGCAGUGUAGCGGUGAAAUGCUUAGAGAUUACAUGGAAUACCAAUUGCGAAGGCAGGUUACUACUAAUGGAUUGACGCUGAUGGACGAAAGCGUGGGUAGCGAACAGG
rnacentral:rRNA from 1 species